UGAGGUGGGGGCUUUUAAGCAGAAACCCCUCUCACUUUGCUAGUGGUUUGUUUGUUUUUUGUUUUCCUUUUUGCCCAGCAGAACCCUGCUCUACUCAUCCUUCAAUGUGCCCACGUGCCUUAAUGUUCCUGGUCGUGUGAAAAGAACCCAGGUUUUAGCGGAACUAAGGAGCAUAAUUCUGCAACAUUUUGGCACCCAAACAUGGGGCUUGAGAAAGGAAUGCAAUUGGAGAAACUGAUUGUUUUACCAGGCUUUGAUUGGAAAGAUUUGCUUCCCUUUAAGUAGUCAAGAUCAACUUGCAGAGCUGAUGAGAGCCCCUUGGGAAAACUGGCAUCACACCUUUGUCUACACAGUCCACAUACAGGGUUCUUAAUCUGUGAUGAGGGAACCUGCCCAGGGCUUGUCUGGGCAUGCCCACAGUGCACUGGAGCCCUGUAUGGGCACUGGGGAAAGUGGGUGGAGCCACUUAUGCAUGGGAGGAGUCUGUUCUCUUCACCUCCUGUGGUAACCUGGUGAAUCAAUCUGUGAGGAAACACUUUCUGAAAAUGUCAACUCUUGAAAACAUGGAUGAGGAAAAGCAUAAGGACUGCUUUAUGCUUGUCUUAUGAAUUUUAAAAGAUGUAUUUUAAAGAUUGAAACUCCCAGAACUUUGACAGACUAUCUCUUCAGAAAACAUUAUUCUUUGACAUCAAUAUGUUUUGCACAAAAUUGAAUGACAAUUGAAAGGCAUCAGACAGAGCUGUCAUUUAAAUGUGCUUGCCAACUAGCUUGUUUAUCAAAACAUUCCAGAUCCUUUCAAAUUCUCAUUUACAUUGCUUCUUGUUUACCACGCCCAUAAAUUUGUAUUAUCAGCAUAUUUAACUAUGGGGCUAUUUUGGAGAUUGAAAAGAGACCUGAUUCAUCAUGUACAAUAUCUCAUACAUCUGUCAUUUC